CCCAAAGGUUCCCUCAGAAUGGUUGGAAAUCAUUCGCAGAGUGUAAAGGCACAAGGGAGCUUGACUGCGAGACCUACAAGUCGAGCAGGGACGAAAGUCGGGCUUAGUGAUCCGGUGGUUCCGCAUGGAAGGGCCAUCGCUCAACGGAUAAAAGCUACCCCGGGGAUAACAGGCUUAUCUCCCCCAAGAGUCCACAUCGACGGGGAGGUUUGGCACCUCGAUGUCGGCUCAUCGCAUCCUGGGGCUGUAGUCGGUCCCAAGGGUUGGGCUGUUCGCCCAUUAAAGCGGUACGCGAGCUGGGUUCAGAAC
rnacentral:rRNA from 1 species